CGCAGCAGAAUUAUGGUCCUCCUGGAGUAGGUGAAAGAAGAGAUCCUAUGCCAAUGAGUAAUUCCCCUGCAGGACUACAGGGAGAUAGAAGAGAUCCAUUGCCUCCACCUCAGCAGAAUUAUGGCCCUCCUAGAGUAGGUCCAUCACAACAGAAUUAUGGUCCUCCUAGAGUAGGUCCACCGCAGCAGAAUUAUGGUCCUCCUAGAGUAGGUGAAAGAAGAGAUCCCAUGCCAAUGAAUAAUUCCCCUGCAGGACUAGAAAAUUAUCAGGGAGAUAGAAGAGAUCCAUUGCCUCCACCUCAGCAGAAUUAUGGUCCUCCUAGAGUAGGUCCACCACAGCAGAAUUAUGGUCUUCCUAGAGUAGUUGAAAGAAGAGAUCCUAUGCCAAUGAGUAAUUCCCCUGCAGGACUAGAAAAUUAUCAGGCGGAUAGAAAAGAUCCAUUACCUUCUUAUCAAGGAAAUUACAGCCAGGGCCAUAUAGGAAACUCUUAUCCUCAAGGACAAAGAGGUUUCCCACCAGUAGAGCAG
rnacentral:lncRNA from 1 species